rnacentral:lncRNA from 1 species
CUAGAUUUGAUAAAAUCUGGAAGAUCCUACACAGGAAAAAGGUAGUUUUUCUUUUAGUUUUGGCAUAAGUAUGAGAGGAAAAAUGAUUAGAAAAAGCUUGAAAAAAAUGUAAGAAAAGAGGGAGAGAAAAUGGAAAGAAAGGGAGAAGGAAAUUGGAAAGCACGUGAUGCUUGUCCAAAAAUCAGGUUGUUCAAGUGUUGAACAUCUGACUUAUUUUUGUGUAGUAUGAAACUUUAGGAAAGGAUUUUUAGAGUGAUUCUAGUGGC